GUCCCAGAUCAUCCUAACUGAAGCCCAGUUUGGUGAAUGUGCGCCACUGCCAUGGACUGAGUAAUUACCUGAAAAUAUGUUUCCAUAUGUUACAGUUACUUUUGGCUGAUAGCAACAUUUCUGACGUCAAGAUCAACGGCUAUAUAUUAUGUUCAAUAACGUUUGAGCUGUUUCACUGUUCCAUGAUAAUCAGAGAAGAAAUCCAAUCUGUAGCUUGGUCACACUAUCGAAUUGACGGCUCAGCCACAGCAGACCUGGACGAUCUGGACCUGCCUUAAUUAUACAACAAGCACAAAGAUCUGAAAGCUUGUAUAGGGACUUCAUGCUGUUUGGAGACAGUGGCAGUGCUGUUGCGGGAACAAACUUGAUCUUUCUGGCAGGCGCGGUUUUGGCUUAUAUGCAUUUUUCCACUACGUAGUUAAAGCGAUGAAUGCCCAGUACACAAAAUUAUAUUAAAAUGCUUGUGAUGUUACACCGGGCAGGCUUAAAAAACAUGCCUGGCCACGGUGGGAAUCGAACCUACGACCUUUGGAAUACUGCCAACUGAGGUACGUGGUCAGGUUGGUUCGAGUAUGUGAUAUUUCGGAACUGAGUCUAGUUCCUUCGAUAUCAGUGUAAUAUAUUAAAAUGCUGUGCUUAUACGACUAGGGGCAAGUCCGGACGAUAUUGUUUCAUUCAUGGC